rnacentral:rRNA from 1 species
GACGAACGCUGGCGGCGUGCUUAGCACAUGCAAGUCGAACGGAAAGGCCCUGCUUUUGUGGGGUGCUCGAGUGGCGAACGGGUGAGUAACACGUGAGUAACCUGCCCUUGACUUUGGGAUAACUUCAGGAAACUGGGGCUAAUACCGGAUAGGAGCUCCUGCUGCAUGGUGGGGGUUGGAAAGUUUCGGCGGUUGGGGAUGGACUCGCGGCUUAUCAGCUUGUUGGUGGGGUAGUGGCCUACCAAGGCUUUGAUGGGUAGCCGGCCUGAGAGGGUGACCGGCCACAUUGGGACUGAGAUACGGCCCAGACUCCUACGGGAGGCAGCAGUGGGGAAUAUUGCACAAUGGGCGGAAGCCUGAUGCAGCAACGCCGCGUGCGGGAUGACGGCCUUCGGGUUGUAAACCGCUUUCGCCUGUGACGAAGCGUGAGUGACGGUAAUGGGUAAAGAAGCACCGGCUAACUACGUG